AUACGUAGGGGGCGAGCGUUGUCCGGAAUGAUUGGGCGUAAAGGGCGCGUAGGCGGCCCGGUAAGUCUGGAGUGAAAGUCCUGUUUUUAAGAUGGGAAUUGCUUUGGAUACUGUCGGGCUUGAGUGCAGGAGAGGUAAGUGGAAUUCCCAGUGUAGCGGUGAAAUGCGUAGAGAUUGGGAGGAACACCAGUGGCGAAGGCGACUUACUGGACUGAAACUGAAGCUGAGGCGCGAAAGUGUGGGGAGAAAACAGGAUUAGAUACCCCGGUAGGCCACACUGGAACCGAUGAAUGCUAAGUGUAGGGGGUAUCGACCCAUUCUGUGCCGCAGUCAACACAAUAAGCAUACCGCCUGGGGAGUACGGCUGCAAGCUGGAAACUCAAAGGAAUUGACGGGG
rnacentral:rRNA from 1 species